CCUCUGAUGUCAGUAUGGGUUUUGCCUGUGGAAGGAGUAAAUGAGGCCCUUAGGAUUACAGUGCUCCAUAGGUUUUAGGAGAGGGGAGCUUUUUAUGUUGCUUCAGUGAGGGUGUGUGAGAGGGUUUGAUAGAAAACUUUCUAGCUCAGCUCUCUUGGUUACUUUUUCCAUGAAAGGUAACAGAUGGUCAUUGUGACGUGAACGUUAUUCCAAUAUCCACAGAGGAGGAAAAAGGACCAGCGUGAUCCAAACUUACAGAAGGGUGGAUGGAGCUGUUCCUGCUGCCCCCAAAGUUCAAGCCCCCAUCAGAGGAGCUGCAGCCAUCAGCGUGGGAGAGGAGAGAUGGGCUGCUGUUAUUCAUGUUUUUACAUGGCUGGGUUCCACUCUGGCAGACGGGAGAGACUGAAGUCUGAAAGCCGUGGGCUGAUAAGCGGUUUUUGAGAGAUAAGAUAUGAAAGACUCUGUAAUUCUGGAAGAGAGUGUUGAGUAGUUUAUAUGUGUAAGUCCAGAUGUUCAGAAGAAGGAGCUGUUCCAACCCUUCAGCUGAGAAUGUCUGCUUGCACAUGUAUGGUCGGAUGUGCUCAUGGCAAUGGCCAAGCAAUGUGGUCCCCAGGAGCAGCAAAUGGAGCACUGAGAUCUCUGUGGAACUCAGGGAAACCACAGGGUUAAUGCUCAGGUAGUGUCCCAUUUCCAUCUUGCUUUGACCGAUGUAUUCCACUGAGAAGACGAGGAUGUUUUCUGAUCACAGGAGCUGCACACCUCUUGGUCUCAGGGGCUGCCUUGCUGGUCCCAUGGGACUCUAAUUUACUACUGGCCCAUUAAAUGCUACCUACAUGUGGCUGGUGUGAAUGCCUAAGUCUUCCAGAACAGAGAGAGACUUAGGGAUAGACUCCCUGCCUUCUCCCCUGAAUAAUGAGCAAUGUGUAAAGUAGCUCUCCACUCACAUCUGAUGGAGCUAAGGUGACAGUGGCCACUGAAGGCAGGAAGAGGGUUUGUCUCUGCCUCUAGUGUCAGGCUUUGGAGCACAGCUCUGGGAUUUGGGUAUAUAACCUGCUGACCAGCAAAGCUGUGUGAGUAUACCUCUUCCAGAAAGUGCUUUUCUUGCAGAGGGAAGGUUUGUGUCCAGAACAGCUGGACCACUUAACUGCUCUUGAAUGUGAAUCAUAGCUGAAGGAGGGCUGCAUUUAACUAGAAGUGUAUCUUAUCAGCAGCCCAUGUCUCAAACAUGCAGUCACAGGCUGUUUGAGUCAGAGAUUCAGGGCCAGGUUCCCAGGAUCUGUCAAUUGGGGAUAGCUUCCCUAAAAUGGAUAUAGCUGUAUUGAUUUAAAUAGGGUGGGAAUUUAGCCCUGAAUAUUCUGCAAGUACAUGAACUGUCAUUGGCCACAAUUUUUCCAAGGAGGCACAUCGUUUUUUAUUGUGAGGAAGAUCAUUGCAGACAGGGAAACAGAUAAGCAGUUGGAUUUUCCUUUGGGCUGUGAUUUUUGGAAUAGAUGCAUUGGUUCAUCUAACAUGGGCUUGUUUAUUUGGUGUUUGUAUAGAAACAGAAAGCAUCCAUACUUAAUGAAGCCUCUUCAGAACCAAACUCCCAUAAUUUAUCUAUUUGUCUCUAAGAGGAAAUUUUAUGUGGAGGCCCUUGGACAUUUUAAUUGGUAGGCAUCACGGGGUUGUUCAUGUGUGCUCAAGGGCAGGUUAUUAUUCACCUGGAGGAUCUAAGUGAUGUGGUGGUGAUCCCUAUCUUCUCUGCAGGGUUGGAUAUCCCCCAAGGAAGCCUUUCCAAGUUUUGCCUGCUGCUUGCAUUCACAGCCUGCUGACUCUGCUGUCCCCACUGGUGGGAUGGUGACCCUGACAGGGGUGACAUGUGGUGGACAGAGGGGGGUGAUGGCCUCUUGAGCAUUCACUGUGUGUUGGACACUCUUAUGUCAUAGAGUGGCUGCUCUUUGCCUGUGGGGAUGCCCUGUUGAGAGCCAAGCAAAGCACAGUAGGCUCAUGUGGGAAAGAGAUGUCUCUGCAGGAGAUAAGGCAGGGAUGGUUAAAAUGGGGUGAGGAGAGACCCUUGGCCUGAGAGUGACCUGGCUGCUGGAGCAUGAGCAGCUCGUGGUGCUGUCAUUGUGUCCCUGUACAGCAGUACUCUACCUACCUCCUAAAAUCCUCCUCGCCUGCCACGGGCCUUCAGGCACCACCAGCUGCUCCUGCAAGCUGCAGCCACAGAGCAGCAUGACCACAGCACUCUUCUGUUCCACAUUACAGCCCGGGAUCCACCUCUGUUGCCAUUAGCGUGCAUUCCUCACUCUGAUUCACAGUGGCAUCUCUCUCUGCUCCUUAUUCAUUACCCAAGCAUCUUGGCGAGCAGCGGCCUGUUAGUGGCUUUGGUCACUUGGCACAGGCAUUGGAAUCUCAUGGUAAACCCAGAGACACUUUAUGGAGGUGUAAUAUCUUGGUUUUGGUUCCCAUUGCAUUUUUGUAGCACAGAGGCCAAAAACACAUCAAAGAAAUGAAUCUGGCAGCGAGCACCAACCCUAAAUUCAUUACACUCCAAUUAGGCUGUUAAGAAGAGAUAAAAGAAGCAGCAAAACUGAAUGUCCUCCUCAAUUUCUGUUUGCUGAGGUUACUUCUCUCUUUUGUGGUCUGGGUCCCUGGGUAUCUUAGUCCACCAGGACCAGUGGUGGUGUGUGCUUAGGGGCAGCUGAGGCAUCCUUCUCAUUAAAGCCAUGAUUGGAUCAAAGUGCUUUAGACAGUCCCCAAGGAAGAGUGAAAGAUUUUUCUUUUUGUGCCUCCCUUUGGGACGAACAGCUUUUUCACUAUUUCACCUCCUUGUCCUGGUCCCCUCCUUCUCUCUGCAGUUAGUGAUGGAUGUGGAUUCCUUGCUGCAAAGCAUGAAGGCUGAGACUUUGGGCAGCUGAGGGAAUGGGCAUUGUCUCUUGCAGCAUCCUUUGCUUGGAUGGAAUGUCUACAGCUGUCCCUUAGUCAGGGUCAUUCCUCUGAGGACAAGAACAAAGCAACAAUUACUAAGAUAUGGAUAUCAAGAAAGAAAAUCAGUAGCUUGGUUGCAGCUUGGGGAUUUGGGUGAUGAAAUAUUGCAUUCCAGUAUCCCCUCUCAAUGGUUUAUUAAAAUCUCUUUAAAUUGUGUACCACUGUUUCUUCCCAUGGCACCAAGUACAGGAACAUCCACGGCUUGAGUGGCAGCAGCAUCCAUUACUGUUAGCUCCUGGCAGAAGUAAUUGCAAGUAAAGUGUAGCCAUAUAAGCUAUGACCAGAGUCUUCUUCAUUCCUUUGUGUUUGGGAGACCAUGUCUGCAUGGAGCUGGAACUCUCCUAGACACUUCAGACCCAAGACACUUAUUCUUUAGAUAUGUGGAAAUCUGUGACAAAACCAAGCAGCUCACACAGACUUUCUAUGAUGGAAGACAACACAGGGAGCAUCACUGCAGCUGCAACACAGCACACUCCUGUUUCCAGGCCAAAGUCACUACACCUCCCACCAUCUGUGCUGCACAAAAACAGGACCAGAAGCACAAAAACAGGACCAGAGCCCUACGUGGAGAUGGGAUGAGGAAACAGCCUACCCAUCCACAAACACAGCCACCUCUGCCUGAAGGAUGUGGCCCCAGGACAGGAUGCA